rnacentral:rRNA from 1 species
GACGGGAGGGGCAAGCGUUACCCGGGUUCAUUGGGUGUAAAGAGUCUGUCGGUGGUCAGGUGUGUUGUGCCUGAAAUCCUCUGGCUCAACCAGAGAAUUGGGUACAAAACUACCUGACUUGAGUCUGGACGAGGGGAGCGGAACAGCCGGUGUAGCGGUGAAAUGCGUAGAUAUCGGCAGGAACACCGGGGGCGAAGGCGGCUCUCUAUUUCAGUACCGACGCCGAGGGACGAGAGCGUGGGGAGCGAUAGGG